GUAGCUGAGGCGAAAGCUAGCUGAGGACAGCCACCCCCCACUGGCUUUGUCAUCCUCAGAGUGACAAAAUGCCACCUCCAGGCCCCAAUAACCUGGGAGGCACUCCAGGGGAGUCCAAGAGGCUCCGGUAGUGUCCAGCUGGAGGGACGAAACAAUUGUCUGGUUUAUCUCGAGCUCUUGUAUUUCAGGUAUCAUCUUUGACGAAUACCUGUGCCUUUUCUAGAGGAGAUACGUAGCAUUGGAACAGUGUUAUUGGUGUCACAAAUCCAACAUCGAAUUGAAGUUCAAUCUGAAAAACUUGAAGCCAUAGUUCUUCAAUCUGUGUGGCCAAUUACCCCACAUCAGGUUAUCAAACCCAGAGUAAUACUAGCUGAAGGAGCUGGAGCAACGGCGUUAUGUAUUACUGUAAGGAGACGACACUCCUGUUUUCCUCCCUUAUCACAGGUUGGCUCAUCAUGCUUUGUAGUCUUGUAGGAGAAGCACAUGCCCUGGAUGCAUUUCCACAAGAUCACCGUGUAAAUACUUGGAUUUGGUUGGCCUCUACUGUAACUAAUUCAUCUGCCUUUUCUAUUGUAUUGAUUAACAGCUGCAGAUCUUUUGACAACGUGUUUUAUUGGCAUGCCAACUCCAGUAGCUGUAUUACAGAAUUAUACUAUGUUAAGUGCUUUUGAUAUUAGUGUUCGUCAUUGCUAUUUUUUCUGAGUAGGUAGUGUACGCCCAGAAACAUUACGAAGUCAACUGGCAGCGGACUGUCUCCUCCUUCUACACCAUAAACGCUGCUCCGAUCUUGAAGGCAUAUGUUGCUUCAAGGUAACUGAUGAAUCAGCCAGCCUAGAGGAUGACAUUCAACAUCUCCAGGAUUUAACGCAUCAAAUGAAACAAUCUACUGGUGGUGCCUGGCUGGCUGAGCGGUUUAAUUCCCUGACAGGAUGGGUAGGACACCUGAUUCAAAGCAUUAUUGUAGGGAUAGGUUUAUUCCUUUUUCUGUAUGUGUUCAUUACACACCUCUCCAUUACCCUGCCCUACACCCUGCAAGCCCAAAUGGACAGCUCCAGCUUUGCCAGCCCCAGCGGAAGCAGUCCCUUGAGCAAGGGGGUGGAACGUGGGAUAAUAAUGGACAAUUGGCGAGGAGGAUUAUAAACACACUCAAGUGACUUGCAGCUGGCAUGCAGAAGUAUACAUAUAUCAUACUAAUUGUUGUUUAUCCUUAUGUGCUUGACAAGUAGAACAUUGGUGUUUAGGUAACACAGGCCUGUGACAGACUUAAGAGGCGCCCUAUCGAACACGCUCGAGAUUCCUCUCCUGCUGUGGGAAGGAUCAAAGCACAGUGGUACAUUGCACCUGCACGAAUCCCUGAUAAGCGGGCGAAAACAGCGGGGUCGGCAAUCCCCUGGCACAGGCUGAGCUCAGCAGUGCCUGCAUCCCCGCUCGUGUACCUGUGCCCAGGUGCUGCUUCGGGGAUCCCCCAGUUGGCAAGGUAAUGAAAAUAAAUUUACUCUUUGCAUUUCAUCCGUGGCUUUGUGGUUGUCCUGCGUCCAGCUAUUGCGGGCAACUACUACUUUAGGAGAAUUUCUAUAAAGUAAGAAAUUGCUGGUUUUAUUUUGUCAUGAUGGACAAAAAAAUAACUGAUUCUAAAUCACGUCCACUGCAGCUUAUGCUUCCAUAACACACCACUCAACUGAUUUCUAUGUUUCAGUGUCUUUGGAGAGGAAUCACAGGUGCCUGCUGUUACUGUAGGGACAAGCAGUAUGGGCUCACAGGAACAGAACAUGCUUUGCCUUCCCAUCACCAGAAAAAGAAAGAAGAGUUGAAGAAGGGCGCUCAGGAUCAAGAGGCUGCAAGGAAGUUGCUGUACUUGAUCCUUUUGCCUUGCUUUAUCUGACAGAAAAGCUGUCUUCUGCUAGCUGGGUCAUGGCUUGAAAUACAGUGAGAACUUCUUGCUUUAGCCUAUUAAAGGGGAAAGAGACUCCCUCCCCUCUCCCAGGGAGUGUGCUACUUUUGACUCACUUGUUCUGACUAUAUGAUCUGCAAUUAUAAUAUUUAGAUUGCAUGGUGUCAGUCUAUACCAUUGACUCCCUGAAUGGUUUUUCAUUUCUGUCCCCCCUUCCUUCUCCAGCUUUUUUCAAUACAUCAAUUAAAAAAAAAAAAAAAAAAUUUUUAACCUUACGUGAACAUCAUCUGUUGUCUUUGGCCCCAAAUGCUUUACUUCCUAGAAAUAAGUUGAGUCUUUUCAUCAGAAUACUUAAAAGAUUUCUAGCCACUGUAGUACUAUUGUAUUGUUUGGGUUUUUUUAAUAAGUUUCUAUACAGGUUCCAGUGUGUGCACUAAAUUUCUACUGCAGUAGAAAACAGUCUUAAGCUGAAGAGAGGUUUCAUGCUUGGGAGAGAAAAAGAGCAGAUCUUGACUCAAAAGCAACUUUUCAAAAGGAAAGAAAUGUAGUGCUUAAUCAUACUGCGCUGUCCUGUAGAAGUUGUGGACACUGUGGUGUUCUCCAGAAUGCUACUUAGGCUGCCACUACAAGUAGGUCAUUUAAAAUAAUAACCUUAGACUUUAAAAAUACAUAAAACUUAAUGAUGCUUAAAGUUUAGAGCAGGGUAGUCAUCAGGUUAAAAUAACUUCAUGCUUGUGACAUGCACAGUGAUGGUUCCUUUCAGGUUUUUUGGUUGGUUUUUUUCGUCUUUAAGAUGGCACUGGUUGCAGUGAUCUUCAGUUUUAUGACACAGCUAACUGUCUUAGUAUGGAUAUGGUUCCUUUCUGCCUACUAUUUCAGUUGACUUGCAGACAUAGUUAAGAUAGCUCUUUGGAGUUGUGGAGUGUGUGUAUAUAGAUAUGUGUGUGUGUGCGUGUGUGUGAAUGUGUAUGAAAAUAAUAAGACCUAAAGUGCCCUCCCCACAUCAUUAGUUUCUGCUGACCUGUAUUUCAGUGUUACCAAGAUUUUAAAGUGACCCAAGUAUUGCUGUUGCAAAUGUUUCCAUGUUUGUCUAACUGUUGUGAUGACUUAAAUAAAAAAAGAAAUCAAAACGGUAAAUGUUUCAUUACUUGCCCUAUAACUAUAUAGUCUUUCCCUGUCCAAUAUAUAUUUCUUUUUUCAGGAUUCACUGUAUUUUUUUUUUACCAUAUGAAAUGGAAAGAGAUUUCUGGCUUACUGUUGGCUUUUAACAGAUGUUUUAUCCUUGGGAAAUUGCCCAGCAAUUAAUUCAUAGAGUUUGGAAUUUAACUGAAGGACAUUUUGCAUGGCCAUGUUCAAAUAUUGAUGCUAACGAGCUACCAUACAGUUCAUGUUCAUAGCUUUAUGGAUACUUAAAGAUGGGCAAUAGUCUUAUUUUUUAAUAAUGUUUAACCUUUUUCUCUUUGGCAAGAACAAGCAAGUCUGCCUGGUUUUGUAGUACUUGCAGCUUUUCCUUAACAUCAGACUUUAAAAAGGGGAGAACCAGUAUCAAGUAUGCAGUUAGGAUGGUGAUUUUUAAAAUACUAAGCAGCAUAACAGUCUCAGGAAGAACAUGUGUGACUGGGCGUGAGAGUCUGUGGUGCAGCAUUACUAACAUUUGCUAAAAAAUGUUUUGAAGAGUGAAGCAUUUGCUUUAUAAGCGAUACUUGAGGACUAAUUCUGAUGCUGCUAAAGUUUAUCGAAAAAUAGGCACUGAUUUCAGUGAUUAUGCAGGUGUAAUUUCUGCUCAUGCUUUAAAUCUGAAAAGAAGAGAAACGUACAUUUGAAGGCCGAUUUUGUAUGAAGGGUAAUCAAACCAGUAACCUACUUUAAGAUGACUUUAAAAUAUUUGGAGCAACGGUUAAAGGCACAUAGGUAAAGUUUAUCAUAUACUCCUACGUCAGCUGUGACUAUUGAAUACAGUCAGCAGUCCACCUCAGAACUUUUUGGUGUGCAAAUGAAACAUGUUAAGUUGUAAGACUUCACAGCCGUGAGCUGAUGGGCCACAGUUCUCUCAGAGCAUAAAGUGCUUAUUGCCCUUUCCAGGUUAAGCAGCUGUUUUUCAAUUUAUACUUUGAAGUCCGACUUUUGUACAUCAUUGAGCACCUUCUUGGACUUCCUGUAGACUCUCACCAGUUAUACUACACCCUUCUUGAAAAGCAGUACAUCAUCUGGAGGGUUCAACAGCUAAUCCGUGCAAAUGUAGUGCUGCAAAAAUAACGUUUGGAUGUACUAACUCAAGUGUGAUGUGUGACGAGGAAUCGCUGGGCCUUUUGAUUAGCGAGAAACAGUACAUAAAAACUAGGUGACAGAAAUUGGACAUGAAGCUGGCAUACUGGUCUUCAAGCUUGCAGCGCAGCUCCGUGGGCUUUGGAUGACUAAAGAAAAGCAUGAGGCACAGGAGAGAACUGCUGCUGGAUCUUAGUGAAAGAUGGUAAAUCAUUUGGAGAGAGGUUUUCAAAGUCAGGAAUUAAAGUCAGGUGCCCAAUUCCAGAUUGACUGUGAAAUCACUGUGUACUUCCCUCGCUUGUCUAACUUUGUGUUGUAUAUUGUCUAGCAGCUUUUAUUUCAAAGUUAACAAAGUUACGCUUGUGUGAUAGGUGAUGUAAUGAACUCAUAAUAAUAGGCAAAAUCCAAGUCACAGAAAAUGUCAGCAUUUGAAAGAGAGCCCUGAUAAAUUACUAGCGCCUUAUACAACUGCCACUUACCAUGCCUUCCAUAUUACAGCUGUCUUAAUCAUUGAUGCUGUUUCCUCAGACUUGGAGCUGUAAUAUCUGAUUUUUGUUUCAGGGUAUAUUAUGAAGUUGCUGAUGGUACUGCCUUAGCCCUUGGCUAAAAAGAGUAGCAAAUAAUUUGUGGAUUAUCAGUAUGAGCAGCAGUCAAACAGCGUUCUUUUUAAAUCAAUAGGGAAGAAAGCCGCACCAGUUUGUCUGGGCUCCCUAAUACCAAAGGUCUUUCUCACAUUUAUUGAUCCUUUUGUAUUUUCCAACUU